rnacentral:rRNA from 1 species
UACGGGAGGCAGCAGUGGGGAAUAUUGCACAAUGGGCGCAAGCCUGAUGCAGCCAUGCCGCGUGUAUGAAAAAGGCCUUCGGGUUGUAAAGUACUUUCAGUCGUGAGGAAGGUGUUAAGGUUAAUAACCUUAGCAAUUGACGUUAGCGACAGAAGAAGCACCGGCUAACUCCGUGCCAGCAGCCGCGGUAAUACGGAGGGUGCGAGCGUUAAUCGGAAUUACUGGGCGUAAAGGGCACGCAGGCGGUUAAUUAAGUUGGAUGUGAAAUCCCCGGGCUUAACCUGGGAAUGGCAUUCAAGACUGGUUAGCUAGAGUCUUGUAGAGGGGGUAGAAUUCCAUGUGUAGCGGUGAAAUGCGUAGAGAUGUGGAGGAAUACCGGUGGCGAAGGCGGCCCCUGGACAAAGACUGACGCUCAUGUACGAAAGCGUGGGGAGCAAACAGGGAUUAGAUACC